GGGAAGGUGGCUCAGUGGUAGAGUGCUUGCCUUGCAUGCAUGAGGCCCAGGGCUCAUGUCCUUCGCA
rnacentral:tRNA from 1 species